AGAGUUUGAUCCUGGCUCAGGAUGAACGCUGGCGGCGUGCCUAAUACAUGCAAGUCGAGCGAAUGGAUUGAGAGCUUGCUCUCAAGAAGUUAGCGGCGGACGGGUGAGUAACACGUGGGUAACCUGCCCAUAAGACUGGGAUAACUCCGGGAAACCGGGGCUAAUACCGGAUAACAUUUUGAACUGCAUGGUUCGAAAUUGAAAGGCGGCUUCGGCUGUCACUUAUGGAUGGACCCGCGUCGCAUUAGCUAGUUGGUGAGGUAACGGCUCACCAAGGCAACGAUGCGUAGCCGACCUGAGAGGGUGAUCGGCCACACUGGGACUGAGACACGGCCCAGACUCCUACGGGAGGCAGCAGUAGGGAAUCUUCCGCAAUGGACGAAAGUCUGACGGAGCAACGCCGCGUGAGUGAUGAAGGCUUUCGGGUCGUAAAACUCUGUUGUUAGGGAAGAACAAGUGCUAGUUGAAUAAGCUGGCACCUUGACGGUACCUAACCAGAAAGCCACGGCUAACUACGUGCCAGCAGCCGCGGUAAUACGUAGGUGGCAAGCGUUAUCCGGAAUUAUUGGGCGUAAAGCGCGCGCAGGUGGUUUCUUAAGUCUGAUGUGAAAGCCCACGGCUCAACCGUGGAGGGUCAUUGGAAACUGGGAGACUUGAGUGCAGAAGAGGAAAGUGGAAUUCCAUGUGUAGCGGUGAAAUGCGUAGAGAUAUGGAGGAACACCAGUGGCGAAGGCGACUUUCUGGUCUGUAACUGACACUGAGGCGCGAAAGCGGGGGAGCAAACAGGAUUAGAUACCCUGGUAGUCCACGCCGUAAACG
rnacentral:rRNA from 1 species